GAUGAACGCUGGCGGCGUGCCUAAUACAUGCAAGUCGAGCGAACGGACGAGAAGCUUGCGUCUCUGAUGUUAGCGGCGGACGGGUGAGUAACACGUGGAUAACCUACCUAUAAGACUGGGAUAACUUCGGGAAACCGUAGCUAAUACCGGAGAAUAUUUUGAACCGCAUGGUUCAAAAGUGAAAGACGGUCUUGCUGUCACUUAUAGAUGGAUCCGCGCCGCAUUAGCUAGUUGGUAAGGUAACGGCUUACCAAGGCAACGAUGCAUAGCCGACCUGAGAGGGUGAUUGGCCACACUGGAAGUGAGACACGGUCCAGACUCCUACGGGAGGCAGCAGUAGGGAAUCGUGCGCCAUGGGCGGAAGCCUUACGGAGCAACGCCGCGUGAGGGAUGAAGGUCUUCGGAUCGGAAAACUCUGUUAUUAGGGAAGAACACAUGUGUAAGUAACUGUGCACAUCUUGACGGUUCCUAAUCAGAAAGCCACGGCCUACUACGUG
rnacentral:rRNA from 1 species